rnacentral:rRNA from 1 species
UGGGGAAUAUUGGACAAUGGGCGAAAGCCUGAUCCAGCCAUGCCGCGUGUGUGAAGAAGGUCUUCGGAUUGUAAAGCACUUUAAGUUGGGAGGAAGGGCAUUAACCUAAUACGUUAGUGUUUUGACGUUACCGACAGAAUAAGCACCGGCUAACUCUGUGCCAGCAGUCGCGGUAAUACAGAGGGUGCAAGCGUUAAUCGGAAUUACUGGGCGUAAAGCGCGCGUAGGUGGUUUGUUAAGUUGGAUGUGAAAUCCCCGGGCUCAACCUGGGAACUGCAUUCAAAACUGACUGACUAGAGUAUGGUAGAGGGUGGUGGAAUUUCCUGUGUAGCGGUGAAAUGCGUAGAUAUAGGAAGGAACACCAGUGGCGAAGGCGACCACCUGGACUAAUACUGACACUGAGGUGCGAAAGCGUGGGGAGCAAACA